CUGAUCCAGUGCCGUGGGUGUAUGUGCUGAUUUCAAGGCUCUCUCCUUUAAUGAGGAAGAUCUAAAAAUGAAUCUCACUAUCCCAUAAAAAGCAUGGCAAUCAAAGGCGUUACUACCCGGUACUCGGUGUCUGUGGGUGGAGACAGUCGGGGUGGGGGGUGUGGAUGAUUCGGGAAUGACCUGAAGGACAUGUAGGGGACAAGAUUUCUUUCACAGAAUCGCUUCACGCUCUAGAAGAAGGGACGUGUGGGUUCACCUUCUAACAGAGCUCUUCAUUCCCACCGCUUCUCAGGACCUUUCCUGUUGAGUUAUGUUGUGCAUGAUCCCGGAGUCCGGCUCUCAGGCAGAUUCUUCUGGAACUAUUACAGAGUUGGGAACUAUGAGAAGCCAGUGUGGCGGAGACUCCAGAAAUUCAUCCUCACAUGUGCGGCUCCCCCCUUCCCCCAAUCCAGUAAAAGGUCGAGUUUACGGAUUUGGAUCGAUCUGCGAGAAGCAGGCAUUGGCACCCACAGGCUGUCUCACCACACUGACAGGAAGCCCUGCUGCCUCCUGGCUGUGUGAUCUUGACCCAGCUACCUGCCAUGUCUGAACUUGAGAUUUUCAAAAUCCGAGGUCUGUUCCACAGAUCUUUAAGGAAAUACCGACAUGAUGCAUGUAGUGUGCUUAGCACAUGAUAGGUUCUCAAACUCAUGAAAGCUAUUUUCCCAUUUGGAACAAUUCUCAAAACGUCCCUGGUCUGGGGCAGACACUGGCAUACAUGAAGGCUUUGAACAGAUUAGAAAAAAAACAAAACAAAACAAAACAAAAAAACAAAAAAAAAAAAACAAAAAAAAAAGGAAAAAAGAAAAGAAAAAAAAAAAGCCCAAAAAAGCUGCCUCCAUUGGCAGGGAAAGUGACGGAGGGUUUUUCCUUCAUCCUAAUGUGACCCUGUACACGUCCUCAGGAGUGCACCGUCUUCUCAUGGGCAUGCAUCAGGCCUGGAUCUGAUCUCUUUAGAGGGCUCCGAGAGGACUACCUCAGAGUACAAUGCUUUGAAAUGCUCUGUACCUUGAACUGAAACAGUUUCAGAGUCUCUCCCCGACCCUAUGUUCCAGGAGAGGUGAAAAGGGUUGCCUUUCAUCUGUUCUCUUCAGCAAUACAGUGCUUGUGCACCCCCUGACCCCAACUGUCCCCCCCAAAAGGAAGAUCAGUUUGCAAUGGAAACUGGAAGAGACCAUACCCAAAGCCCAACCAAACUGUCCCCAGGCGUGUGUCUUCUUUCGGUUCACUGAUGUCCUUUAAAACUCACUUAGCAGUGGCUGAGAUGGCGGUUCAGUUGGUAAGGCACUUGCUAUGUAAGAUUAAGACCCGAAUUCAGAUCCUAGCAUCCAUGUAAAGGCUGGAGCAGCAGUGGACCUGUAACCGCAGUGUUAGGGAGGCAGAGACAGGUGAACCCCCGGGACUUUCUGGCUAGCCAGGCUCACUAAAUCGUCGUGUUUUAGGUUCAGACUAUGUCACAAAACACCAAGUGUAGAGCCCGAUGUCCCCAUCUCAGGUCUCUGUAUGCAUAUACACAGGAAUUCAUACACACCUACACACACACACACACACACACACACACACACACACACACACACACAGGCACACACACACAGACACACAGACACACACAGAGGCACACACACACAGGCACACACACAGACACACACAGACACACACAGACACACACAGACACACACAGACCCAGACACACACAGACACACACGCACACACACGCACACACACGCACACACACAGACACACACAGACCCAGACACACACAGAUACACAGACACACACAGACACACACGCACACACACGCACACACACGCACACACACAGACACACACAGACCCAGACACACACAGAUACACAGACACACACAGACACACACAGACACACACGCACAUACACGCACACACACAGACACACACAGACCCAGACACACACAGAUACACAGAUACACAGAUACACAGACACACAGACACAGACACAGACACACCUACACACACACACACACACACACACAGGCACACACACACAGGCACACACACAGACACACAUAGACACACACAGACCCAGACACACACAGAUACACAGACACACAGACACACAGACACACACACACACACACACACACACACAGACACACACACAGACACACACACACACACAGAGUAAGAGACAGAAGGUUUGAAAUUCCAGUAGCUGUGGUUGUGGGAGCCAGGUCUGCUCAGUACUGUAGCUCCUUCCUCUGUCACAGGCCUGCCACCUGCCAACACCUAUGGUUUACAGGCUUCAGGUGGCAAUUCCAGCCUGCUUUUCUUGUCCCUUUGUUGUUUGUCUGUCUUGUGAUGUCCUUGUUGAGGUGUGGGCUUAUCGAGAGUGAUGGAGAACUUGCAAGACUUUGCUGUUGACUCUGAAGCCCAGGCCUGCUUAGUGUUGGCUCACCAUGACUGUUUCUGUAGUGGAAUGCAGUCAAGAAGAGCAUUAGAGUAAUUUCCUUAAGACUUAUUUCCAGAACAAUCUCAUGAACCAUGGUGAUGACGACCCUGGGAUAUAGAGCCCCUGGGAUGUGUUUUAUCUUUUGGGGGGGUUGUCCUAGAGGGGGGAAGUGGAAAAAAAACACCAGGUGUCAUGGGCUCUUGUAUGCGCCUAGCUAUCUUUGAAUUGUGGGCAUUUUAUAUACAAACUCUGGGUGUGACAAAAGUUGUCUCUGGGGUUUGUCUUUGUGUCUGGCAGGUAUUAACUGGUGACAUGUCAUGUCACCUUACUCUUGUUGGAGAGUGAGAUGAUUCAGAGCUAUUUUUAGGAGUUGUGGGAAGCUGUGUAGUUCUUACUCAUUUUUUCUUUUUCUUAGAGACAGGCCUUCUUUUUUUUUUCACCCUCCAAACAAUGGCUUUCCUCCAAAAAUGUCCACCGUGUUUUGAGGUCCAGAAUUUUUUUUUUUUUUUGAGCUGAGGGCUUGCUAGGCAAGCACUCUACCACUCUACUAAAUCCCAACCCCUGAUAUCCAGAAUGUGAAUGUCUUAGGUUACAUGGCAAAGAGGAGCUGAAGUUGCAGAGGGAAUUAAAAUUACCAAUCAGCCAAUCCUAGACUGGAACGUUACAGUGGGUGUUCUGGAUUGUUCCAGUCUUGUAAGUGGCAGAAGGAGGCAUCCGAGGAGUCAAGAUGCUGUGCUAUGAGAGGCCUUCAACCUGCUACUACUGGAUUUGAAGAUAGACAAGUUCACCACACAGGGAACACCAGAACCUGCUUCUGGAAAGGGCACUGAAGGAGCCCUCAGGAGAGAGGAAACCCGGCAGGCAUUCUGGUUUAACUCAGUGAGACUCAGGUCAGCCUUCUAGCCUAUAGGGCAGUAUGAUAGUAAAGAAGUGUGGUUUUAGCCAUUAGAUUAGUGGUGACUUGUUGCAGUAGGAGACUGAUGCAAGGGAUUCUGGGUGUAAAAUUAUUUUCUUUUUGUUGAAAAUACAGUUUUAUGCCAUAUAUUCUGAUUACUGUUUCUCCUCCCCCUACUUUUCUCAGUUCCUCUCCAAACCACCUCCCAUCUGGAUCCACACCCUUUCUGUUUCUCAUGAGAAAGCAAACAGCUAUCUAAGGUAUAAUAAUGCAAUAAAAUACAAUAAAAAAAUAAAAACAAAACAAAUUAGAUUAUGACAAAACAACCAAUCAAGAAAUCGAGCCAAAGAAAAAGCAUGUGGAACACUGAGACACACAUGCAUGCACACACUGGAAUCCCAUAAAAACCCCAAACCAGAAGUCAUGAUACUCAAAGGCUCUGUAAGGUAGAAAAAAAGUACUUAGCAUGAAGAGCCAAAGAACUUCCCAAGACGCUGUCUAGUUAAUUUUGUGUUGACUAACUAUUGCUGGGCAUGGGGUUUAUCCUUAAGAAGUGUUUGUUGCCCCAGUGGGGCUCUCUUGGAGAAAGCUAAGUUUUCAUUUACAGGUGGCUAUGAAUUGGAGCUAGUCUCUGGGUUAAGGAUGGGGCAUAGAUCUGCCUCUCCUUUUACCUCUAGGACAUCAUCUAGUGCUGACCUGUGAAGGACCUGUGCACGCUACCUCAGGCUCUGUGAGUUCACACGCACACCAGCCCUGGAGUGUCUAGAAGGUCUUGAUUCUUUGAUGUCUCUCAUCCCCCCUGGCUCUUAAGCUCUUUCUGCUUCAUCUUCUGCAGAGUUCCCUGAGCCCUGAGGUGAGAGAUUUGAUAACGACAUCCCUUUUAGGGCUGAGUGUUUCGAGGCCUGUGCAUUGUCUUUGGCUGUGGAUCUCUGUUUCGUUCCCAUUUGCUGAAGGAAGAAACCUCUCCUUCCAUAGAUCCAUGAGCAAGGCAUAGAUCUAUGAGAAUAGAAGAAUGUUGUUAGGGGUCAUCGUAUUGCUUCAUCCCUUUAGCAGGGCUUCCCUUAGGUCUCUGGCUUAUCAAAUCCCAGGUUCUUGGCCACCCAAACAGCGUUGAGUAUGGGUUCCAUUUUGUGGAGUGGGUUUUAAACUUAAUUGGAUAUUGACUGGUCACUCCUGCAAGCUUUGCACUACUGUUAUAUUAGCAUAUCUUGCAGGCGGGUCACUCUUAUAAAUUGAAAGCUUUGUAGUUAGGUAAUGUUUACCUUUCUCCUUUGGUAGCAGGUAGAGUAUCUUCUAGUACCAUGAACUGUAGUCCUCAGGGGUGAAGCCUCUAGGUAGGCACUAACCAUGUUCAAUGAGUUGUAUAGGUGUCAUCAGUAAUGGGGCCCUGCCAUUAGUUUGUGGAGAGCUGCUAGUGGUUUUGGCAGUAGCCUGUGUCGUUUAGGGGUUCCCUGGGAUCCCUUUGGCCAUGAACUUGGUUGGAUGUAACCCAUUUCCAGUACUGGACGCUUCCUUUGGUGAUGAGAGAUUCCAGUUGAGGCUCCGUCUUCCCUGUUACCAGGUAAUUUUAUUUUGAUCCCAGCUGAAUAUCUUCAUUGUUUCCUAGAACAUCUUCCUGGUGAACCCCAAACACCUCUGUCUUUACGGCAACCUGAGGCUUCUGAAUCCUUGCCUUGUUGUGAUGGUUCGUAUAUGUUUGUCCCAGGGAAUGGCCCUAUUAGGAGGUGUGGCCUUGGGAUAGGUGUAUUGCUGUGAGUGUGGGCUUUAAGACCCACUUCCUAGCUGCCUGGAAGUCUGUCUUCUCUUUGAGGCUGGCAGACGAAGAUGUGGACCUCUCUAGCAGCUCCUGCACCAUGCGUACCUGGAUGCUGCCAUGUUCCCACCUUACGAUACUGAACUGAAGCUCUGAACCUGUAGGCCAGCCCCAAACAAAUGUCCUUAUAAGAGUUGCCUUGGUCAUGGCGUCUGUUCACAGCAGGAAAACUCUAUUGAAGACACUUGUAUUCAGUGUCUUGAGCCUGGCCUUCUUACUAUUCCUCAAUGAAUCAACAACUUUCCAGAGACGAGAAUUCGGCAUUCUCAUUUCACGUCUUUUGUCUUCGGGAUCUUUCUCUCCCUCCUCGGGCUGCUUCUUUAGCUGUGAGUUCUAAUAUAUGUCUCUCUGCUGUCAGCAGCCAUCAUGUCUCAGCCUCCGGCCUCAGCCUGCCUUCAAAUUAGCAGACAUAUAUUUAAGAACCAAAAGGAUAAGUAAAGGGUAGCCAGGAUAUUGCUGUUGUCAUUAGCAGACUUUGUUAUACUCUGCUAUAAUAGGACACUGGGUGGGUGCCUCUCCCUGACCAUUUGUCUCUCUCUGUAUAAGGAGGGCUUCAGAGGGGCGAGCCUCUAGACUUUCCAGCUCUGGCCAUCUUCAGAUGCUGCCUCUGUGCUCAGGAGUGCUGACUCCUUUUGUUGUCCAGGGUCUGUGAGUCCUUGACUGCCAGGUUUGAAUGAAAGCCCAUCAGUAGAGAGGACCACGGAGCAUAGUACAAAGCAAAUGGACAAUCAGAGCAAGCAGAAGACAAAGAUUCCAACAGAGACUUAGCACAAUGACACAGCAGAAUGCUAUGCCUCCUUGACUCUAGAGGGGGGAAAACCCAACGUUGAGCCUCCAUGCUUUCUGCUUAGCACGGUUAGGCUAACGGAUCUGUGAUUAAUCAGGAAAGCUGACUCAAUUUACAGAACUUUGAACAGAGAGCAUCAUGAUGGCUUUAAGAUCCCCAAGGAGCUGCAGGCUAUCUGACUGGAUGCUUGCCCAAGCUGUGAUUUUGACCUGACGAUGAAGUGUUUGAGUUUAUGUUCUGACGUCUGUCCGCCCUCGGGAUCACAUUCAAAGGGAGUCUCCAAAGCGCUGGCAACGACCAUUUUGCUUCUGUAUGCAGCAUUUUCUUCCUGAACUUCACUUUCCUUUAAAAAAAAAUUAUGAAAUACUGUCUCACUGUCAUCGUUCUCAGCCUGUUGUGUCCCUCUCCCACGUUCCCCUCCCCGAAAAGCUCAAUUCCGCUGCCUCAACUAUCCCUGGCCUCGCUUGUCCUAUCUUCAGGUUCCAGUCAGCCUCAUUUCCUUCAGGGAAGCUUCUUCCUUUUUUUUUUUCUCCCCACCCCCCGGAGCUGGGGACUGGACCCAGAGCCUUGUGCUUCCUAGGCAAGCGCUCUACCACUGAGCCAAAUCCCCAACCGGGAAGCUUCUUUCCCACACAUAAAGGCCGCUUUUGCGGAAA